ACAGAAAGUGCUGUGUGGACUGGAUGACUGUUCUAGCCACACACUGUGGAGGGUGAGGUGCCCGCUCCUUCCACAGUGUCACAAGUUGAUGUCGAGCCUGCAGAGCAGAAGCUGUGAAGCACCUGCCUCUCCUGAGGGCAGCCUGGAGGCAUCACCUGCUGAGUUGUCUCUACCAAGCUGAAACACACACAGAAACCUCCUUUAGCAAUUCUCCACGUGGACCAGUCACUGGAAUUGCAGUGCCCUGGGCAAGAGAUUAGCAGGCAGCUGUUGCAAAUGGCCAUGGUUUCCAUGAAGAGUGCACAGAUGGCUCCGUCCUCACAACUUCCUUAGAAAGAUGGAAAAUGGAACUUGUCUUGAUGACAGUGUCUGCUAGGUUCAUCAACUUCUGAAAUGUGGUGACAGAGCAUAGACUAUAACUCAUGGGUAAAAGGACAUUGCUUAGAAGCAAAUAGUAAUAUUUGUCAGGGAAGAUCUUGAAGAGUUCACUUAUUAAAACAUUGAGUUGACAUCUCUUAUUUUGAUCAAAAUAAAUGAAAAUG
rnacentral:lncRNA from 10 species